CGAGACAUCAGUAUAAAACAUUACUUAUUACUCGACUGUGCGGGGAUUUGGCUGGGUUCAACUAAGUGUGUAUGUAUAUGCAAGUCCUUGCAGGGAUGCAUGAAGCAUAGCACGAGAGCCUAACACGAACUGAGCGGCCGCUUUGAAGGAACUAAAAUCAAUAAGCACUGAUACCGCUCGUGCUAGGUAACCUUCGUGCUCGAGCUGUACGAUUCGAAGAGCUAGCACAACGAGUUAGCACGAUAAGCUAGCACCAUGAGCCAGCUCGGUAAGCUGGCACGAGCAAGAUCGGUGAGCUAGCUCACCGAUCAAGGUACCUCAGUUCGAGACUUACUAAAGAUGGUUGAAUGAUUUGGCUUAAAUUUGAAAAAUAAAUCUCAAGGUGGCACGGAUGGUUGCCUGAUGCUGAUCAUUUCUAGAUCAUCCUAGUCGACAGCAGUGUAUAUCUGUUCAAUUAUAGGGGCCCCUCAGCUUAGUUGUGCCCAGGGCCCCGAGCGGUCUUAAGACGGCUCUGCUCUUAAACUAUAUCAGUACUAUGCAAAUUUGGAUCAAAAUAGUCUCACCAAAUGAUUAGAACUCAACUGUGUUCACUCAAUUUACCAACAUCGAAGUAACAACGAUUACACCAAAUGUCUCCAAACCAACAACCAACACUACCAACAAAAAAUCAAAAACCGAUGAAGAAUGACUUACAACAGCAAUCCGUAACUACAAAAAACAAACAAGAACAUCCGACCUUGAGCAUCAUGAAAACAGUACCGAUGACGACAUGGACGUGAACGAAAACGCGCGAGAAGACGGGCCAAAUGAUCCCCAACGCACCUAAUGUUUCACCACCUAGGAAGAGGAUCUCAACACGCAACAGCAAGCUGCGCCAACAACACCCGAUGGACAGGCAUAGUAAAAAUAACUUUUAUUUUAACACAUUGUAAAAAUAAAAAAGGCUCACGGCUCAGUUAUGCUAACGGAUGGAGUCGUGACAAAUAAUCAAACAAAAAAUUAUUAAAAAACAGUUGAGAUGACUUUAAACUCAA